GCCUCCACCUCCCUUGCCUUCACGGAGCUUCGGCAUCUACCCUUAUUCCAGGCGGCUGCUCAGGGGCACCGUUCUACCCCUUUCUGCCUGGAGAAACUGCCGUUUUUCCUUAAAGGAUCCUCGAAGCCGGAAGGAGCAGCCACCUCCCACUCCCGGCUGCUGCAAGCAAGCUGCUUUGACUUCUUUCUAGAGUUGGGGAUUGCUGCUGGAGUCCGAGUCUCAGGCCCAGAGUGGGUGCGAUGGUCUUGCUUGCACCCUGUAUCCCCCGGCAGACGCCCGGGAACUCUACUAAGUGGGUGACCCCAGAGAGCUCGCCCCCACACUCCGACUCCGAGUCCAGCACUCGGUCCACUGCACAGGGACCUCGCGCCCCACAGCUGCGUCCUCUCUGACCUUCGCAAUCCGGUGCGCGGCCCGCGG
rnacentral:lncRNA from 1 species